UCCGAUAUGGUGUAGUGGCUAACAUUAUCGCCUCUCAUACGUGAAAUAGAAGAAAUAGUGUGAGCGCGAUAGCCCGGGGCUCGAUUCCCCGUGUCGGAA